AGAGAGGUGGCCGAGUGGCCGAAGGCGCUACCUUGGAAAGGUAGUAUACCGGUAACGGUAUCGAGGGUUCGAAUCCCUUCCUCUCUA
rnacentral:tRNA from 1 species